UACGUAGGGGGCAAGCGUUGUCCGGAAUCAUUGGGCGUAAAGAGCGUGUAGGCGGCCCGGUAAGUCCGCUGUGAAAGUCCAGGGCUCAACCCUGGGAUGCCGGUGGAUACUGUCGGGCUCGAGUCCGGAAGAGGAGUGUGGAAUUCCUGGUGUAGCGGUGAAAUGCGUAGAUAUCCGGAGGAACACCGGUGGCGAAGGCGGCUUCCUGGACCGACACUGACGCUGAGGCGCGAAAGCUAGGGGAGCAAACGGG
rnacentral:rRNA from 1 species